rnacentral:lncRNA from 1 species
UCGACUAGGCGGACUGGUCCGAGUGAAGAGAAAAAAAAGCCAUACGAAACUCAAAAUAUUUUCCGGAGAUAUUCAUUUUCCUGAAGAGGCGGAUAAGAUAUUAGGUGGCUGUUUGAUACCGCCAGAAAGACAAAAAAAAGAUUCUAAGGAAUCAAAAAAAAGGAAAAAUUGGGUCUUUGUUCAACGGAAAAAAAUUCUCAAGAGCAAGGAAAAGUAUUUUGUUUCCGUUCGCCCUACAGUGGCAUAUGAAAUGGACGAUGGAAGAAAUUUAGCAACACUUUUUCCGCAGGAUCUCUUGCAAGAAGAAAAUAAUCUCCAAAUUCGACUUGUCAAUUUUAUUUCUCAUGAAAAUAGCAAGUUAACUCAAAGAAUUUAUCACACAAAUAGUCAAUUUGUUAGAACUUGCUUAGUAGUGAAUUGGGAACAAGAAGAAAAAGAAAAGGCUGGUGCUUCCCUUGUUGAGGUAAGAGCAAAUGAUCUUAUUCACGAUUUCCUAAGAAUUGAGUUAGUCAAGUCCACUAUUUCGUAUACACGAAAAAGGUAUGGUAGGACAAGUGCAGGACCGAUUCCCCAUAAUAGGUUAGAUCGCGCCAAUAUCAAUUCUUUUUAUUCGAAGGCGAAGAUUGAAUCACUUAGCCAACAUCCAGAAACUAUUGGCACUUUGUUGAAUCGAAAUAAAGAAUACCACUCUUUGAUGAUUUUGUCGGCAUCCAACUGUUCUCGAAUUGGUUUAUUCAAGAAUUCAAAACAUCCCAAUGCGAUAAAAGAAUGGAAUCCUAGAAUUCCUCUGCGAGAAAUUUUUGGGCCCUUAGGCGCUAUUGUAGCUAGUAUAUCGCAUUUUUCUUCAUCUUACUAUUUACUAACGCAUAAUAAAAUCCUGUUAAAAAAAUAUUUGUUCGUUGACAAUUUAAAACAAACCUUCCAAGUACUUCAAGAACUUAAAUACUCUUUAAUAGAUGAAAAUAAAAGGAUUUCUAAUUUCGAUAGUAACAUAAUGUUGGAUCCAUUCCUUUUGAAUUGUCACUUUGUCCAUCAUGAUUCUUGGGAAGAGACAUUGGCAAUAAUUCACCUUGGACAAUUUAUUUGUGAAAAUGUAUGUCUAUUUAAAUCGCACAUAAAAAAAUCCGGUCAAAUUUUCAUUGUAAAUAUGAAUUCUUUUGUUAUAAGAGCAGCUAAACCUUAUUCGGCCACUACAGGAGCAACUGUUAAUGGUCAUUAUGGAGAAAUCCUUUACAAGGGAGAUAGGUUAGUUACGUUUAUAUAUGAAAAAUCGAGAUCUAGUGACAUAACGCAAGGUCUUCCAAAAGUGGAACAAAUCUUUGAAGCGCGUUCAAUUGAUUCAUUAUCCCCGAAUCUCGAAAGGAGAAUUGAGGAUUGGAAUGAGCGUAUACCAAGAAUUCUUGGGGUCCCUUGGGGAUUCUUGAUUGGAGCUGAGCUAACCAUAGCCCAAAGUCGUAUCUCUUUGGUUAAUAAAAUCCAAAAGGUUUAUCGAUCCCAAGGGGUACAGAUCCAUAAUAGACAUAUAGAGAUUAUUAUACGCCAAGUAACAUCAAAAGUGCGGGUUUCCGAAGAUGGAAUGUCUAAUCUUUUUUCGCCUGGGGAAUUAAUCGGACUAUUGCGAGCGGAAUGAGCAGGACGAGCUUUGGAUGAAUCAAUCUAUUAUCGGGCAAUCUUAUUGGGAAUAACAAGGGCUUCCCUAAAUACCCAAAGUUUCAUAUCUGAAGCAAGUUUUCAAGAAACUGCUCGAGUUUUAGACAAAGCUGCCCUACGAGGUCGCAUUGAUUGGUUGAAAGGCUUGAAAGAAAACGUAGUUCUGGGGGGAUUAUACCUGUUGGUACCGGAUUCCAAAAAUUUGUGCAUCGUUCCCCACAAGACAAGAACCUUUAUUUCGAAAAAAAAUUAUUCGCGUCGGAAAUGAGAGAUUUUUUGUUUCUCCAUACAGAAUUAGUUUCUUCAGAUUCUGACGUAACAAACAAUUUUUAUGAGACAUAAGAACCCCCAUUUAACAUUUAACCCUAUAUCAUUUAAGGAUACAUAAAAAAUAUUUUUUAUUUCAAGCUAUUUCGGAUCUUUCUUAAUCUUCAAAAAGAACUAAAUUCCGUAAUGGAAUGGUAGGAUUAAAAAAAAGGAAGUGUGGAAAAAAUGACAAGAAGAUAUUGGAACAUUAAUUUGAAAGAGAUGAUAGAAGCAGGAGUUCAUUUUGGUCAUGGUAUUAAGAAAUGGAAUCCUAAAAUGGCCCCUUACAUUUCGGCAAAGCGUAAAGGUACUCAUAUUAUAAAUCUCGCUAGAACGGCUCGUUUUUUAUCAGAAGCUUGUGAUUUAGUUUUUGAUGCAGCAAGUCAGGGAAAAAGUUUCUUAAUUGUUGGUACCAAAAAAAGAGCAACAGAUUUAGUAGCAUCAGCUGCAAUAAGGGCUCGUUGUCAUUAUGUUAAUAAAAAGUGGUUCAGUGGUAUUUUAACGAAUUGGUCGAUUACGAAAACUAGACUUUCUCAAUUUAGAGACUUAAGAGCAGAAGAAAAAAUGGGAAAAUUCCACCAUCUCCCAAAAAGAGAUGUGGCAAUCUUUAAGAGAAAAUUAUCUACCUUGCAAAGGUACCUCGGCGGGAUCAAAUAUAUGACGAGAUUGCCAGACAUUGUGAUCGUCCUUGAUCAGCAAAAAGAGUAUAUAGCUCUCCGGGAAUGUGCCAUUUUGGGGAUUCCUACUAUUUCUUUAGUCGAUACAAAUUGUGACCCGGAUCUCGCGAAUAUAUCGAUUCCAGCCAACGAUGACACUAUGACUUCAAUUCGAUUGAUUCUUAACAAAUUAGUAUUUUCAAUUUGUGAGGGCCGUUCUCUCUAUAUAAGAAAUCGUUGAUUAAGAAUAUAUAGUGAAUUCUUGGGCAACUGCGUAAAUUUAUGGAAUCACUUACUUUACUAUAUCUUUUUUUUUGCAUAGAAUUUUUUUUGCAUAGAAAAAAGAAGGGGAAUAUUGAUAUAUAUUAGAGGGUAUUGAUAUAUAUUAUGAUCUGAUGUGCUUUCUUGGUAUCCUAAAUAUAAGAUUAAUACUUCAAGUUGCUGAGUUGAGAAAGAGAUGGUUGAAUCAAAAGAAUUCCUUUUUUGAAGUUCAAUUUUUAUCAGAGGACAAUAUGAAUAUUAUACCUUGUUCCAUUAAAACACUCAAGGGGUUAUACGAUAUAUCGGGUGUAGAAGUAGGCCAACACUUCUAUUGGCAAAUAGGAGGUUUCCAAAUUCUUGCCCAAGUACUCAUCACUUCUUGGGUCGUAAUUACUAUCUUGCUAGAUUCAGUUGUCAUAGCUGUUCGGAAUCCACAAACCAUACCGACCGACGGUCAGAAUUUUUUUGAAUAUGUCCUUGAGUUUAUUCGAGACUUGAGCAAAACUCAGAUUGGAGAAGAAUAUGGUCCCUGGGUUCCCUUUAUUGGAACUAUGUUCCUUUUUAUUUUUGUUUUGAAUUGGUCGGGUGCUCUUUUACCUUGGAAAAUUAUAGAGUUACCCCAUGGGGAAUUAGCAGCGCCCACGAAUGAUAUAAAUACUACUGUUGCUUUAGCUUUACUCACAUCAGCGGCAUAUUUUUAUGCUGAUCUUAGCAAAAAAGGAUUGAGCUAUUUCGAGAAAUAUAUUAACCCAACUCCAAUCCUUUUACCAAUUAACAUUCUAGAAGAUUUCACAAAACCAUUAUCGCUUAGCUUUCGACUUUUCGGGAAUAUAUUGGCGGAUGAAUUAGUCGUUGUUGUUCUUGUUUCUUUAGUCCCCUUAGUAAUCCCUAUACCGGUCAUGUUUCUUGGAUUAUUUACAAGCGGUAUUCAAGCUCUUAUUUUUGCAACAUUAGCCGCAGACUAUAUAGGUGAAUCCAUGGAGGGUUAUCAUUGGAUUGACUCUUUUUGGAAAUAGUAUUUUUUUUGCAGCUUAGCUCAAUUCAUGCAUGGUUCCAGAUAAUCUGCUUGGUUGCAAAAAAAUAGUUAGAAAUGCGUAUGAAUAUAUAGCCUAGAGUUGUAGGAGAGAUAAUAGAAUAGACUAUAUUAUGGAAUUUUCAAAGUAUAUAUGCAAUAAGGAGGGUGGAGUCAGGCUAGAUCUAUACUAUAAUAUCCUUAAUGUCUAUAAUUGGAGUCCUCUUUUAUGCAGGUUUCCACUUUAAGCAAUGAUUUUAGAAUCCGAUUCAAUAGAAAAUGAGAAAAUAUGCAAACAAAAUAGAAGAAACAAAUGUAUAUAUAUAUAGGAUAUUAUAUUAUAUAUUCCUUGGUUAGAUUCAUUAUCUAAUCCGAUAUAUGGAUAUGGAAUUCCCUUCUAUGUAGUUCGGACAAUUCACAUUAUCAUUUCAAUUUGAUUUCAAUUUGUACUUUUUAGUUACUUUAAUUCUCCCCAAUAGAGCUUAGAAGUAAGAAUUUAUUGGUUGAUUGUAUCCUUAACCAUUUCUUUUUUUUGACACGAGGAACUACUCACCAUGAAUCCACUAAUUGCUGCUGCUUCUGUUAUUGCUGCUGGAUUGGCCGUAGGGCUUGCUUCUAUUGGACCUGGAGUUGGUCAAGGUACUGCUGCAGGACAAGCUGUAGAAGGUAUUGCGAGCCAGAAGCAGAAGGUAAAAUACGAGGUACUUUAUUGCUUAGUCUAGCUUUUAUGGAAGCUUUAACAAUUUAUGGACUAGUUGUGGCACUAACGCUUUUAUUUGCGAACCCUUUUGUUUAAUCUUAAAAAAAUUCUUUCGAUUUCGAUUAGAUACUUUUUUCUUUUUUUAGUCAAUUGGUAUUUGCUUCCGCAAUUCCAAUUAUAUCAAUACUUUAUUUAAUUUACUCCUAUUUAUUACUCCUGGAGUUAUCUAUUUACCGGGACAGAUAAUACCCCAUUCUAGGAAGGGCUGAGUUGAGUAUUAUUAAUUUAGAAGAUAUGCUCACCUUCUUAUUUCCCGUCCUUAGUUUAGGAAAGUGGAAAGUUUUUUCCUUUUAUUUUAGGAAUUUUGGGAACAGAACAUUUCAACAAAGGAAGUCUUUCACCGGUCAAACAAGACGUAAGACUUAAUCUAAAAGAAAUUACUAGAUUGAAUCUAUUUGCAUUAAAAAAACGAUCAAAAAAGGGCGAGCGAAGUAAGUGAUCGAAAAACUUUGUUCUUUGUUCGUCCUAUCUAUAAGAGGAGAGCAUAUGAAAAAUGUAACCCAUUCUUUCGUUUUUUAGCUCACUGGCCAUCCGCUAGCAGUUUCAGGCUUAAUACCGAUAUUUUAGCAACAAAUCUAAUAAAUCUAACUGUAGUGGUUGGUGUUUUGAUUUUUUUGGAAAGGGAGUGUGUGCGAGUUGUCUAUUUCAAGAAUAGAUUGGAUCUAUCCGGCUGCACUUUAUAAUAUUUUUUAGUAUUUUUUGGAUAAAUAAGAAAAGGGUGCACGAUCUCGACGAAUUACUUCUGAAUAAAUUCAGAAAUCAUAUGGAAGAACCAUAGCAUUUCGCGACUCAUUGGUAAAUCAACUUUGAUUCUCUAUAAACCAAGAAUGUGAGACCAUUAACACGGUUAAAGCUAAACUGCUUGAAGUCCAGGCAAAAAGAGGUACUCUUUCUACAACUAUAUUAGUAUUAGUACCGAAUUUAAACGGGAAAUAGCUAAUGUAAAAUUUAUCUGAUAUAGAACACUCAUAUAGAUAAAAUGGUUUGAACUAUUUACUAGAAAAAAAGGGGGCACCCUGCCCUUUUGUAAUCAAUGCCGAAUCGACGACCUAUGUAUAAAAAAGAGAAUUUUUUUGGAUUUGAAGAAAAAAAAUAAAAAAGAAUUCUAUUAAUUUUCAUUUUCCAUUUAUUUAGUUAGUUUUUCUUAAUGAAAUUGAAAUUAUUAACUAGAGGGCAAAUAAAAAUAAAGAAACAACUUUGCUGACCAUGAUAUAUUUUUAUCUUGGCAGAAGAGUCCUCUUAAUGUUUAUCUAGUCUUAUAUAGGUUUCGGUAUAUUGAAAUAUAAACAUAAAAAAGAAGAUAGAGGAUAGGCUCAUUACUUAAAAAAAAGAUAUGGAAAUAGCUAUAGAAAAAAAAGGAGCGUGAGAGCCAAAUGAAUCGAAAGAUUCAUGUUUGGUUCGGGAAGAGAUCAUAAAAGGUGUAAACUUACAAAAUAAUCUACUUUCAUUAAAAGAUUUAUAAGAUAAACAAAAACAGAGGAUCUUGAGUACUAUUCGAAAUUCAGAAGAAUUGCAUAGAGGGACCAUUGAGCAACUCAAAAAAGCUCGGAUUCGAUUACAGAAAGUCGAACUAGAAGCGGAUGAGUAUCGAAUGAAUGGAUACUCUGAGAUAGAACGAGAAAAAGCAAAUUUGAUUAAUGCUACUUCUAUUAGUUUGGAAUAAUUGGAAAAGUCUAAAAACGAAACCCUUUAUUUUGAAAAACAAAGGGCAAUGAAUCAGGUCCGACAGCGGGUUUUCCAACAGGCCGUACAAGGAGCUCUAGGAACUCUGAAUAGUUGUUUGAAUACCGAGUUACAUUUCCGUACGAUUCGUGCUAAUAUUGGCAUUCUCGGGUCCCUGGAAUGGAAGAGAUAAUUAAAUUAAUUAGGCCUUGAACUUCUACUUUCGUUUAGAAUUUAGGCAUUAUUUUUCCCCUUGCUUCCGAAAAAAGAGUCAGAAACACUAAUGGCAACCCUUCGAGUCAACGAUAUUCAUAAAAUUCUCCGCGAACGUAUUGAACAAUAUAAUAGGAAAGUAGGGAUUGAGAAUAUAGGUCGCGUAGUUCAAGUGGGGGAUGGGAUUGCUCGUAUUAUAGGUCUUGGUGAAAUAAUGUCAGGUGAAUUACUCGAAUUUGCAGAAGGUACUAGGGGUAUUGCUCUGAAUUUGGAAUCCAAAAAUGUUGGGAUUGUAUUAAUGGGCGAUGGGUUGAUGAUACAAGAGGGAAGUUUUGUAAAAGCAACAGGAAGAAUUGCUCAGAUACCCGUGAGUGAGGCUUACUUGGGUCGUGUUGUAAAUGCUCUGGCUAAACCUAUUGAUGGGAAAGGCGAAAUUAUAGCUUCCGAAUCUCGCUUAAUUGAAUCUCCUGCUCCAAGUAUAAUUUCCAGGCGUUCCGUAUACGAACCUCUUCAAACAGGGCUUAUUGCUAUCGAUUCGAUGAUCCCUAUAGGGCGCGGUCAGCGAGAGUUAAUUAUUGGGGACAGACAGACUAGCAAAACAACAGUAGCCACAGAUACAAUUCUCAAUCAAAAAGGCCAAGGUGUAAUAUGUGUUUAUGUAGCUAUCGGUCAAAGAGCAUCCUCCGUAGCUCAAGUAGUAACUACUUUCCACGAGGAGGGGGCUAUGGAAUACACUAUUGUAGUAGCUGAAAUGGCGGAUUCACCUGCUACAUUACAAUACCUUGCUCCUUAUACGGGAGCAGCCCUGGCUGAGUAUUUUAUGUACCGCGAACGGCAUACUUUCAUAAUUUAUGAUGAUCUCUCCAAACAGGCACAAGCUUAUCGCCAAAUGUCCCUUCUAUUAAGAAGACCUCCCGGCCGUGAGGCUUAUCCAGGGGAUGUUUUUUAUUUGCAUUCACGCCUUUUAGAAAGAGCCGCUAAAUUAAAUUCCCUUUUAGGCGAAGGAAGUAUGACCGCUUUACCAAUAGUUGAGACUCAAUCUGGAGACGUUUCCGCCUAUAUUCCUACUAAUGUAAUCUCCAUUACAGAUGGACAAAUAUUCUUAUCUGCGGAUCUAUUCAAUGCCGGAAUUCGACCCGCUAUUAAUGUGGGUAUUUCUGUUUCCAGAGUAGGAUCCGCGGCUCAAAUUAAAGCCAUGAAACAAGUAGCUGGCAAAUCAAAAUUGGAACUAGCGCAAUUCGCAGAGUUACAAGCCUUUGCACAAUUCGCCUCUGCUCUCGAUAAAACAAGUCAGAAUCAAUUGGCAAGGGGUCGACGAUUAAGGGAAUUGCUUAAACAAUCCCAGGCAAAUCCUCUCCCAGUGGAAGAGCAGAUAGCUACUAUUUAUACCGGAACAAGAGGAUAUCUUGAUUCGUUAGAAAUUGAACAGGUAAAUAAAUUUCUGGAUGAGUUACGUAAACAUCUAAAAGAUACUAAACCUCAAUUCCAAGAAAUUAUAUCUUCUAGCAAGACAUUCACCAAGCAAGCGGAAAUCCUUUUGAAGGAAGCUAUUCAGGAACAGCUGGAACGGUUUUCUCUUCAGUAACAAAUAAAUUUUGCAUGUCUACUCUUGUUAGUAGAAUAGGAAUCGUUGAGAAAGCCUUUUCAUUUGAAUCAUGCAAAAAAGUUUUCUUUGUUUUUAGUUUAGUAUAGUUAUUUAAAGAAUAGAUAGAAAUAAGAUUGCGUCCAAUAGGAUUUGAACCUAUACCAAAGGUUUAGAAGACCUCUGUCCUAUCCAUUAGACAAUGGACGCUUUUCUUUCAUAUUUUAUUCUUUCUUUUAUUUUAUUGCUUCUUCCGAGAAAAAACUGUUAGACCAAAACUCUUUUAGGAAAUCAAAAAAUCCAGAUACAAAUGCAUGAUGUAUAUAUUAUAUCAUGCAUAUAUCAUAAAGAAGGAGUAUGGAGGCGGUAGUGGGAGUCGAACCCGCAACCCCAAGGUUAUGAGCCUUAUGAGCUACCAAACUGCUCUAUACUCUUAAACUGAAGAGGGGUAACUAGGGGAUAAAAGAGGGUUGGAUACGCCCCUCUACCAAUAUCUAUACAAAUAGAAUAGUCCAUUUAUACAGAAUGGUAAAGAGGGCUCCUCUAUGAUUAUCAAUUCCAGAAAUCCAUACAAAUACGAAAGGGUAUUUUAUCCUUACCAACUGGAUCUUGUUGCACCCGGUAACAAACACUCAUAAACCAUUUCUCAAAGUACGUGUCCGGAUAGCCCAAAAUGUCGAUAGUUAGCUCUAGGUCUUCCGGUCAAAAAACAACUCGAUGAAGGCGUGUAGGUGCACUAUUACGCGGUAGGGAUUGCAAUUUUUCUCGCAUUUUCGUUUUUCACUCAAACUCAAGGGAGAAACUUUGCUUCUUAUCUUUUUUUUAAAGAUUGACGAAUCAAAUGAUAUUUCUGUUCUAAUUUCUGCCGCUUCUUCUCCCUCUGAAUCAAACUUUUUUUUGCCAUAAUGUGUCGUUGCUAUUAUUACCAAGUAUAUGGUUCUAAUCAUAGAUGGAAAAAUAAAUAGAAAAAGAAAUCUAAAAAGGCAGAUCCUCCCUCUCUAUCAAGAGUAAUGAACUAGGUGCUGAUAUAGUACAAAAAAAACUAAAUUAACCAAACUUGCCUGAUGUUGAGGCAAUCAAGAAAGCUGCAUAAGUGAAUAUAUAACUCACGGAAAAGUGAGCUAAUCCAACCAAUCUUGCUCGCACAAUGGAAAGAGCCACGGGCUUAUCUCUCCAGCGAAUUAAAUUAGCUAAAGGUGUGCGUUCAUGAGCCCAUGCUAAAGUCUCAAUUAAUUCCUGCCAAUACCCCCGCCAGGAAAUUAAGAACAUAAAUCAAGUAGCCCAAACAAGAUGUCCAAAUAAGAACAUCCACGCCCAUACCGAUAAACUAUUCAUCCCAAAAGGAUUAUAUCCAUUGAUAAGUUGUGAAGAGUUUAACCAUAGGUAAUCUCUUAACCAUCCCAUCAAAUAAGUGGAGGAUUCAUUAAAUUGUGAAACGUUGCCCUGCCAUAAUGUGAUAUGUUUCCAAUGCCAAUAAAAAGUAACCCACCCAAUGGUAUUUAACAUCCAUAAAACUGCCAAAUAAAAUGCGUCCCAAGCAGAAAUAUCACAAGUACCGCCGUGCCCUGGGCCGUCACAAGGAAAACUAUAUCCAAAAUCCGUUUUAUCUGGCAUUAAUUUGGAACCGCGUGCAUCUAAAGCGCCCUUUACUAAAAUCAAUGUAGUUGUAUGCAAACCUAGAGCAAUAGCAUGAUGAACCAAGAAAUCCCCAGGUCCUAUUGUUAAGAAAAGCGAAUUACUAUUCUCAUUAACAACAUUCAACCAUCCGGGCAACCAUAGGCUUCGACCCGCAUUGAAAGCGGGGCCAUUCGUUGAAGAUAAGAGUAUAUCGAACCCAUAUGUCGUCUUGCCAUGAGCAGAUUGUAUCCAUUGGGAAAAUAUAGGUUCGAUCAAGAUUUGCUUUUCUGGAGUACCAAAAGCAAGCAUGACGUCGUUAUGAACAUAAAGGCCCAAGGUAUGGAACCCUAGAAAGAGGCUAGCCCAACUUAAAUGAGAUAUGAUAGCUUCUUUAUGGUCUAACAUUCUUGCCAAUACAUUAUCCUCAUUCUGUUCUGGAUUGUAAUCCCUAAUGAAAAAAAUAGCUCCAUGAGCAAAAGCCCCUGUCAUGAUGAACCCUGCAAUAUAUUGGUGAUGAGUAUAUAAAGCAGCUUGAGUAGUAAAGUCUUGUGCUAUGAAUGCAUAAGGAGGUAAAGAGUACAUAUGUUGAGCUACUAAGGAAGUAAUAACCCCUAAAGAAGCUAGAGCAAGACCUAACUGAAAAUGAAUCGAAUUGUUGAUUGUGUCAUAAAGGCCCUUAUGCCCACGCCCUAAUCGACCCCCCGGAGGAGUAUGCGCUUCUAAAAGAUCUUUAAUAUUGUGCCCAAUUCUGAAGUUAGUUCGAUACAUGUGACCGGCAAUGAGAAAAAUAAAUGCAAUAGCUAAAUGAUGGUGAGCCAUAUCGGUCAGCCACAAACUUUGCGUUUGUGGAUGGAUCCCCCAAGAAGAGUUAGAAUGGCAGUUCCUGCUCCUUGAGCGGUACCAAAUAAAUGAUUACUCGAAUCAGGGUUUUGGGCAUAAAGAUUCCAUUGACCCGUCAAAAGGGGUCCCAACCCCUGGGGAUAGGGUAAUACAUCUAAGAAAUUAUUCCAUUGAACGUACCCCCCUGGAUGCGGGAAUAGCAACAUGAACUAAAUGUCCUGUCCAAGCCAAAGAACUUACCCCGAAAAGUCCUGACAAAUGAUGAUUGAGACGAGAUUCCGCGUUUUUGAACCACGAAAGGCUUGGUUUCCAUUUGGGUUGUAGAUGUAACCAACCCGCUAUUAAGGACAGCGUAGAAAGAAAUAAUAGAAAAAGAGCUCCAAUAUAAAGAUGCUCAUUGGUGCGUAAUCCUAUUGUAUACCACCACUGAUAAACUCUAGAAUAAGCAAUAUUCACUGGACCAGCAGCACCUCCUCGAGUAAAGGCUUCCACAGCGGGUUGACCAAAAUGAGGAUCCCAAAUCGCAUGAGCAAUAGGUCUUACGUGUAAAGGAUCCUGUAUCCAUGAUUCAAAAUUUCCUUGCCAAGCUACAUGAAACAGAUUUCCGGACGUCCAUAGAAAGAUUAUUGCUAAUUGCCCAAAGUGAGAAGCAAAAAUGUUCUGAUAAAGACAUUCUUCAGUAAUAUCAUCAUGACUUUCGAAAUCAUGUGCGGUAGCAAUACCAAACCAAAUAUGACGAGUAGUGGGGUCCUGAGCUAAGCCUUGGCUAAACCUGGGAAAUCUUAAUUCCAUAAUGCCUUUCAAAUCCUCCUAGCCACUAUCCUACUGCAAUAAUUCUCGCUAAGAAGAAUGCCCAUGUCGUGGCAAUUCCACCCAGAAGGUAAUGGGUUACUCCUACAGCGCGUCCUUGUAUAAUGCUCAAGGCUCUAGGCUGAGUAGCAGGAGCAACUUUUAAUUUGUUAUGAGCCCAAACGAUAGAUUCAAUGAGUUCUUGCCAAUAACCAUGGCCGCUGAAUAAAAGCAUUAAACUGAAGGCCCAGACAAAAUGAGCACCUAAGAAAAAAAGACCAUAUGCAGAUAAUGAAGAACCAUAAGACUGAAUGACUUGCGAUGCCUGUGCCCACAAGAAAUCUCGAAGCCACCCAUUAAUCGUAAUGGAACUCUGUGCAAAGUUUCCCCCUGUAAUAUGAGUUACCACCCCUUGAUCACUUAUAGUACCCCAAACAUCCGAAUGCAUUUUCCAACUGAAAUGGAAAAUGACUACCGAAAUUGCAUUGUACAUCCAGAAUAAACCUAUGAAAACAUGAUCCCAGGCGGAUACUUGACAUGUUCCCCCUCGGCCAGGCCCAUCGCAAGGAAAGCGAAAACCUAGAUUUGCUUUAUCGGGUAUUAAACGGGAACUCCGAGCAAAUAAAACACCUUUCAAAAGUAUUAAUACAGUCACAUGUAUGGUAAAUGCAUGAAUGUGAUGGACUAAAAAAUCUGCGGUUCCUAAUGGAAUAGGUAACAAAGCCACUUUGCCACCUACUGCUACUAACUCGCCGCCUCCCCACGUUAAGCUAGUACUUGUUGUUGCACCAGGAGCUGUUACGCCAGGCGCAGUAGCAUGGAUAUUUGUACCCAUUGAGCAAAGAUAGGUUGUAAUUGUAUGGCAGUAUCCGAAAACAUAUCUUGUGGACGGCCUAAAGCACUCAUGGUAUCAUUAUGAAUGUACAAGCCAAAACUGUGAAAACCUAGAAAUAUACAUACCCAGUUAAGGUGGGAUAUGAUUGCAUCGCGGUGUCUAAGGACGCGAUCUAAUAGAUCGUUGUAUCGAGUAGUUGGAUCAUACUCUCUUACCAUAAAAAUUGCUGCAUGUGCAGCAGCACCGACUAUUAGAAAUCCGCCAAUCCACAUGUGGUGUGUGAACAAGGAAAGUUGUGUACCAUAGUCAGUAGCUAGGUAUGGAUAGGGAGGCAUAGAAUACAUAUGAUGAGCUACAACAAUGGUUGUAGAGCCUAGCAUAGCUAGGUUAAGAGAUAAUUGAGCAUGCCAUGACGUUGUUAAGAUUUCAUAAAGACCCUUAUGGCCUUGUCCUGUAAAUGGGCCCUUGAAGCCUCCAAAAUAUCUUUAAGUCCAUGGCCAAUACCCCAAUUGGUCCUAUACAUAUGACCUGCGAUUAGGAAAAGAAUAGCAAUAGCUAAAUGAUGGUGCGCAAUAUCGGUCAGCCAGAGACCACCGGUUACUGGAUCUAGUCCUCCGCGAAAAGUCAGAAAUUCUGCGUAUUUGGACCAAUUUAAAGUGAAAAAGGGGUUGCUCCUUCGGCAAAACUAGGAUAAAGUUGAGCCAAAAGGUCCCGAUUCAAGAUAAAUUCAUGAGGAAGUGGUAUCUCUUUAGGAUCCACCCCAGCGUCAAGAAAUUGGUUAAUUGGUAAAGAUACAUGAAUUUGGUGCCCCGCCCAAGAAAGAGACCCAAGUCCUAAUAAUCCCGCUAAGUGGUGAUUCAACAUGGAUUCUACAUCUUGGAACCAGGCCAAUUUGGGAGCGGCUUUGUGAUAAUGGAACCAACCAGCAAAAAGCAUUAACGCUGCAAAAAUCAAUGCACCAAUUGCAGUACAAUAGAGUUGUAAUUCACUAGUUAUUCCAGAUGCUCGCGAAAGCUGAAAAAAACCAGAGGUUAUUUGGAUUCCUCGGAAACCCCCGCCUACAUCACCAUUCAAUAUUUCUUGCCCUACUAUAGGCCAAACUACCUGAGCACUGGGUCCAAUGUGAGUAGGAUCACUUAGCCAUGCUUCAUAAUUGGAAAAACGGGCGCCAUGAAAGUACAUGCCACUCAACCAAAGAAAGAUAAUGGAAAGUUGCCCGAAAUGAGCACUAAAGACUUUUCGAGAAAUCUCCUCCAAAUCACCAGUAUGACUAUCGAAAUCGUGAGCAUCAACAUGUAGGUUCCAGAUCCAAGUGGUAGUAUCAGGGCCCUUAGCUAGUGUUCUUGAGAAAUGGCCGGGUCUGGCCCAUUCCUCAAAAGAUGUUUCUACAGGAUCCCUAUCCACAACAAUUUUUACUUCUGGUUCCGGUGAACGAAUAAUCAUUAAGUCCUCCUCUUUCUGGACAAGACAUACAAAGAGACCCGCCAACUGUCUUUUUAGUGAAUCUUUGAAAGAUAUAUAUUUUGAAAGAUAGAUUUUGAAAGAUAGAUAUUGUGAUUAGUUCUUUUCUUUACUAUCUACCAUCCUUCUAUUUUUUUUUAGUUAUUCACUGGAGCAAUUAUAUAUUGAAGUCAAUCCGAGGCAAGUGUUCGGGUCUAUUAUGACAUAAAGAUUAGGUGCCUAACGGACAUUGUUUAUCUUGAAAAACAAAUAUUUCUCGACGUAAGAAAAAAAUCUUUUUUAUUUUUAAUUUAAGAAACUAGUGUAUUUUUUUGAGGGCAUAAGCUCCUAUCUAUAUCUACUUUCCUUGAGCAUAAUAUAGGGUUUUUUAUUUGAUUCUAAAUUCCAAGAUAACUCAUUAGAAUUAUUAAUAAGAUGGUCCUAAUAUAUUAGCAAUAUUUAUAUUGCCCCCUCUUUUUAUUCACUUUAUUACUUCUAUUCUAGACCCUAUCCCUAUGGUUUAUUCUUAUGAAAUAUCAUAUAAAAUAGAAGGUAUAAGAAAUGGAUAUAAUGAAAUUCUUGAUUCGAUCUUACGACCUAAUUUAUUUGAUUAAUGGAUCAACAACCAAACCACCCAUUUUAUGAAAAAGAAGGAGCAUGGUCUUAUUCAAAUUCAAAGCGCUUCGUAAUCUUCAACCAGUUCUGUGCUUCAAUAUAAUUUCCCGGAGUAAGCGCUAUAGCUUGUUUCCAACAUUCAGCAGCUUGAUCAAACCAAGCUUCCGCAAUUUCUGAAUCACCCUGUAGAAUGGCCUGUUCUCCUUGGUCGGAAUAGGAAGUUCCUUCCCUUAGAACCGUACUUGAGAGUUUCCUACCUCAUACGGCUCAGAAAUUGCUAUCUGAAUUUCCCCUAUCUUAACUGAAUUCGAUUUAUCAAAAAUCGAUCCAAUUUGUUCUUGGGUUAAGCAGAAGAAAUUAAUUACCUAAGUUUCAAACCCUAAUUUUUAUCAAUAAUCAGUUUGAUCUUUUUUCCCACCUUCAGAAGAAUGAAGCAUAGAUAGAUAUAGAGCCUUCAUUCAAAUUUUCUGAAAGGUAACUAUCCCGUUUUCAUAUAUGAAAUCUCUAUAGAAUCCUUGAAAAAGAAUUUUUCCAUAAGAAAGAAAAAAGAACUUACUAUCUUUGGGAUCUGAUACUACACCGCUGCUUAAUCCCUUAGUGGAUCGGCUCUAUUACAUAAGCGGAUUCCUAAAUUUUGCCCCAUAUCAUGGGAUAAGUAAGCAGUUUUUUUAGUUGUAUCGACCCAGUCGCUCACUAAUUGAUCUUUACGGUGCUUUCUCUAUCAAUUUGAGAAACUUUAUCCAUAGAGUAGUAGUAUAGGCCAUACUUUCUUCUUUUUUGAUUCUCGUGAAGUGUCCUUCCUUCCUACAGCUGAUAGGGAAAAAUCGUUGUUUUUAUGAUCCCUAUGUAGAAAGCCCUUUUUUCUAGUAUUUACUAGAAAAUUUGAUCCUCUCUUUUUUUUCUUUCUUUUCUAUAGUGGAGAUAGUCGCACGUAAUGACAGAUCACGGCCAUAUUAUUAAAAGCUUGCGGUAAGAAGGGGUUUCGUUCUAGUGCCCGGAAAUAAUAUUCCAAAGCCUUUGUAUGCUCUCCAUUGCUUGUGUGUAUAAGGCCUAUGUUAUAGAGUAUAUAACUUCGAUCAUAGGGAUCGAUUUCUAGUCGCGUAGCUUCAUAAUAAUUUUGCAAAGCUUCCGCAUAAUUUCCUUCGGAUUGAGCCAACAUCCGUUACGGUCAUUCAUUCUAUUCAAAAAAUCUCCGUUCCAAAACCGUACAUGAGGUUUUCAUCUCAUACGGCUCCUCCCUUCUGUACAUAAUAGUACUAAGCGAAAUAAUCUAUAGAAUCAAAAUAGAAUUAGUCCCGUCUCAUUAUGAACUGAAAGGGGCUGGUAUUUUUCCAAGAAAUCUCUAGCCAACCUUCCCACAAGAGGUUUUUCUUAACACCAAUGAAUUCUAUUAAUGCUAGAGGAAAACGAUAGCUCCAAUAAUUUCUUUGUUCUCAACGCGUCCUAUUUAGAGGAAUUAGCUACUUCAACGAUCUUUGAUGGUUAUAGGGGUAUCCAAAGUACAAACCUGAUGGUUGUUUGUUAUCCCAACCAUUAUUCCUAGCCCUGAUACCGAUCAGGAAAGGGGUAAUUUCUAACAAAGUUUUUCUCUUGUUGAUUCCUAUUUCUAGGUGUAGUGCUUUUCUCCCCUAUGCUGCCUACGGAUACUAAUAGAGUAGGAUUGGCCUGUAAUCCAUACCAUACCAUAUCCUGUAGGUGUAACCUUUCGCUCAAUACUCAAAUCUACAAUUGAAGUAUCUGAAGCCGCAUCAAUCGAGGAUACACGACGGAAGGAAUUGUUAGUUCGCCUCACCUUCCUGAAGCGUGGGUUUGUUUGCUUUACAAAUUUGGUUCUCUCUAUGCCAACCCCCUCUCUUUUUCGUAAGACUGAGGUAUAGGUAGGGCUAAAAAAAGCAAAAAAAAUGAGUCAAAUCGCACCAUCUCUAUAAUAAGUAAAUGCCUUUUUUUCUCCUGAGGUUGUCGGAAUUAUUCACAAUAAAAUAUUGGCUACAAUUGAGGAGGUCUUAUCAAUGAAAUUUCCAUUUACACGGGAUCUAGGCAUAAUUCCCAACCCAUUCUAUAUAGAAUUGUUUUCAUUCCUUCACAAAAUAACAUAAAAACAAACAUAUUCGAUUCUUAUAAUUAUAAAUAGAUUGAUCCAUAUGCUCUACUCUAAAUCCAUAUGCUUUAAAUGGAUAAGAGAGAUAGAGAUAUGGAUUUUCCGCUCAGCUCAAAUUGUAUCCUUUUCCUUCUGCUUGGACACGAAGAGAUAUGAAAUAUUUGACUAAGACUGGAUUUCAUUCCACUUUGCUAUUUCUGAACAACAACUUAUGUUAUCAACUAUUUCGUGUUUUCAAAGUUAUUAAUUGUCUCAUACCCUAUUUGUGAUUUCGAUAGUAUGGUGUAGCGUAUCUUAUGCAAACGGAAUUCUAAGGUUUCUUUAUUUUAUUAUGCAAUAAGAAGAAUUCUUCCAUUUUCUUUUUCUUUAGUUGCGGGAAAACCCAAAUUAAAACUUUUAUUUUAUAGCGAGCGCAAUUUCUAGUAAAAAAUCCUGUAUCCUUCCACUUAGAUCAAAAGGAAUUUUUCCAAUAGAACUAUGGAACCCCCGAGUGGUUGCGGUUGUACCUGUACUGCAGGAAUAAGAAAACUCGCUAUUCACUCAGUUUAUUUUCCAUAAUAAGUUAUGUAGGAGAGAUGGCCGAGCGGUUCAAGGCGUAGCAUUGGAACUGCUAUGUAGACUUUUGUUUACCGAGGGUUCGAAUCCCUCUCUUUCCGUUUUUCUUAUUUCAUCAACGUUAAGGAUCACAAUGUAUCAAAUCAAAUAACAAUUUUUUCCAGCAAUAAUAUCUUAUAUUAUCUUAUUUUGAUAUAAUAGAAAUUAGAAAUUCUCUAUAGCAAAUUACUGUGGUAUGUAAAAUACACAUAGAGGAAAAAAGAAAAAAGGAUCCUAAUCCUAGGGUUAAUCAAUUUUAGCUAGUUGAUGGGAAAAUACAAAUUAAUGGUAAUGGUCUUAGGGCGAUUUAGUUCGGGGAAAGGGGAAGGGGAAGAAAAUUCUAUGAACCUUUCCUUUUUUGGUUAAGUUCAAGUCUGACGAGAGUAAUAUUCUACAACUAACAACUCAUUUAUUUUGAGACCGACCCACUUCCUAUCUAGGAUUUUAUUUACUAGUCCUUUAUAUUCCAACGUGUCAAUCGCCAAAUGCUUUGGCAAUUUCCCCGGGUCCGAUGAAGCAAUAUAAUUUUGAACCAGACCUUUUGAUCUUUGGCUAUCUUUCGUAGUAAUAAUAUCUCGGGGUUUGCAACGAAAACUUGGUAUAUUGACUAUACGACCAUUAACUAAAAUAUGUCUAUGGUUGACUAAUUGGCGGGCCCCAGGAAUGGUUGAAGCCAUACCAAUCGAAAAAGGAUAUUAUCCAAACGCAUUUCAAGUAAUUGUAGUAAAACCUGGCCUGUUGACCUUUUUGCUUUUCCAGCGAUAUGUACAUAUCUAAGUAAUUGUCGUUCUGUCAGACCAUAAUGAAAACGCAAUUUCUGUUUUUCUUGAACACGAAUACGAUAUUGCUCCUUUUUCCCAGAAAUGAAUUUAUUUUUAAGAUUACCUUUGAUUUAGGUGUUUUUCUAGUGAGUCCUGGUAAAGCUCCCAGACGGCGUAUUUUUUUAAACGAGGUCCUCGAUAACGGGACAUGAAGACUCCUUUUUUUAUUUUAUUGAAAUUUCAUUUUACACAAUUAAUUUCAUUGUAUUUACAUUACAGAAUACAUCGAAAUUAAAACUGAAUUAAACUACAGGAUAAACAGAGUAAAAUCAACUAAAGUACCCAAAAAAAUGGAAUUUCAUCAAAAUCUUUAUUUUUUGUAUAUAUAUUAUUUAUUUUAUUGUUUUGUAUCUAGCAAAAUUGUAAGGUAAAAAACAUAAAAGAUCCUGGAUUCUCCAUUUAAUUCGGAAAAAAAGAGAUUCUUGUUCGUAGAACAUCGAUAGAGAAAAAAAGCCGACUAUCGGAUUUGAACUGAUGACCCUCGCAUUACAAAUGCGAUGCUCUAACCUCUGAGCUAAGUGGGCUUACAUAACGGAAAUAGUGUAACAAAUAGAAAUAGGUAUAGUAUAGGAAAUCCAUAAAAUCUCAGAUAUUAGUUAUUAAUCUUAGCUAUUAACUAGUUCUAAAUUUGAAGUUAUACUUAUAAAAAUAAAAAAAUACUAAAACUUCUUAAAGAUAAAGUUAGCUUGAUAUGCUUAACUAUAGGAUAUUAAAAAAUAAAAUUAUAGAAUUUAUUGGUAUUUUCAUUUGAUCAUUAUAGACUUUAUUAUUUGUUAAUAAUUUGAGGAUUAAUAUUUCACUAAGGGGAACAUAGAGUCAGAGUAAAUAAAAUUGCUAAUUCUGAUUAGAAAAAAAGAAUAAAUAUCAAGCGUUAUAGUAUAAUUUUGAAUACUAUAAAAAAGUAAGACGGGAGGUGGGGGAGAUAAAAACUUUUGGAUAUAUUGAUUCGGAUUGAAUUGCAAAUACAUCAAGGAUAGAAUCAAUUCAAUUGUGAAUUGCAAUAAGCAAGCGAGGUCUCUCAAAUAGAGUCGAACUGAACUGCUAGACUACGUUGAGUGAUGAACUCAAUGAUUCAAAAAAAACUAAGAGAUGGAUGAAAUUACACAAGGAAUCCUGGUCUCAAAGAAGAGGGAAAUGGGGAUAUGGCGAAAUCGGUAGCCGCUACGGACUUGAUUGUAUUGAGCCUUGGUAUGGAAACCUGCUAAGUGGUAACUUCCAAAUUCAGAGAAACCCUGGAAUUGAAAAAGGGCAAUCCUGAGCCAAAUCCGUGUUUUGAGAAAACAAGGGGUUCUCGAACUAGAAUACAAAGGAAAAGGAUAGGUGCAGAGACUCAAUGGAAGCUGUUCUAACGAAUCGAGUUAAUUACGUUGUGUUGUUAGUGGAAUUCCUUCUAAUUCUAAAUUAGAGAAAGUGGGGUUUUUAUACCUUAUACAUUUAAUAAACACGUAUAGAUACUGACAUAGCAAACGAUUAAUCACAGAACUCAUAUUAUAUUAUAAUUAUAAUAUAGGUUCUUUAUCUUUUUAAAAAAUGAAAUUAGAAAUGAUAAUGAUUAUGAAAUAAAAAACUCAUAUCAUAAUUUUUUUUUUCAUUAUUGUGAAUCCAGUCCAAUCGAAUAUUGAAUAAUCAAAUUCUUCAAUUUAAAUUCAAAGUUUUUGAGAUCUUUAAAAAGUGGAUUAAUCGGACGAGGACAAAGAGAGAGUCCCAUUCCACAUGUCAAUACUGACAACAAUGAAAUUUCUAGUAAAAGGAAAAUCCGUCGACUUUAUAAGUUGUGAGGGUUCAAGUCCCUCUAUCCCCAAAUCCUCUUUUAUUCCCUAACUAUACUAUAUUAUUAUUAUUUAUCCUGUUUUUUAUCUUUUUAUCAAUGCAAUGGCAAUGGGUUUAAGAUUCAUUAGCUUUCUCAUUCUACUCUUUCACAAAGGAAUGCGAAGAGAACUCAAUGGAUCUUAUCCUAUUCAUUGAAUAGAUUUCUUUUUUAUUAGAGUAUCGGCAAGAAAUCUUGGUUAUUCACUCUAUUUUUAAGUUUUAUUUAAGUAAACCAUGCACAAUGCAUAGGACUACCCCCCCCCCCAUUUUCAAAUUUCAAAUUUGAAAUACUUUAAUUAAUUUUUAGUCCUUUUAAUUGACAUAGAUACAAAUACUCUACUAGGAUGAUGCACAAGAAAAGGUCAGGAUAGCUCAGUUGGUAGAGCAGAGGACUGAAAAUCCUCGUGUCACCAGUUCAAAUCUGGUUCCUGGCAGAGAAAAAAAAAGAUCCACCGAAUAGGUAUUGAUCCAAAUACCUCGAGAUGGAUUGUGAUACAUAUUCAUUAAUAAUAUUUAUUCAUCUAAGUGGAUAAAUCUAUAAUAUAAAUAUAGAGGCACUUCUUUUUCUUUUUAAAGAAGUUUUAAAAUAUAUCUUUUCUUUAUGAUAAAGAAGGGGGUGAGAUUCCCCUUUAUUUUUUUGCGUUUCUUAAUUUUGUAUUCCGCUAUUCCGACGAAUAUUUUUUUAGUCUUGCUUAUCUUUAUCUUAUCUUAUUUUCCUAGUUGUGCUAAGUAAUGUGCGCGGUACAAAGUUCCUGGUUGAGAACUUCUUUGAGUCAUCCUAUUUUUCUGUUCAUAUGAAGGAAAUUAAUAUGCGAUUUUCAAAAUAGGGGAAUCCAAAUGAAACCCUUUUUUUGCUCAGUCUAUCUGGAAUGCUUUUGUAUAAUUAGGAAUUAAUUAUAAAUAGGUAUUCCGUUUCAUCUAGGAAAAGAACCUAAAAAUAUUCCUUGACUUGAAUAAAAUCUGGAGUUGUGUUGUAUAAGUGAGCAUGAAUUUCUUAUCAUUCAAUGAGCAUCUUGUAUUUCAUAAAAAUUGGGGGUUAUAUAAUCCUUACGUAAGGGCCAGCCUAUCCAACUUUCAGGCAUUAGGAUACGUUUAAGGCACGGAUGAUUAUCAUAAGAGAUUCCCACCAUAUCAUAAGAUUCGCGUUCUUGAAAAUUGGCACUUCUCCAAAUCCAGAAGACAGACGGAAUUCUAGGAUUAUCCUUUUGGGCAAAGACUUUUAUGCAGACUUCUUCUGGAUUAUCUAUACCAUAUUGUAUUCUCGUAAGAUGAUACACGCUAGCUAAAGAUCCACCGGGUGCUACAUCAUAAGCACAUUGGGAGCGUAAAUAAUUGUAACCAUAUACAUAUAAAAUGACAGCAAUGGAAUCCCAAUCCCCUGCUUUUGUUUGUAAAGUCUCUAUUCCUCGGUGAUCAAAGCCCAAAGAUCUAUGAACCACCUCAUGUUUGACUAGCCAAUUAGAUAACCAACCCUGCUACAUUGUCUUCAUCUCUCCCUCUUUGUAUAAAUAUUUCACAUUUCGGAUGUAAGUUUGAAAGAUUGCCCUGCUUUUUAUUUUUCUACACAAAAGAGCCCCUCUCCUAAUUCACUAAUUUGUAGGAAGGUACUGAACUUUUGGAUUUGAAAAAAGUUUCAGAAGAUAUAUCUAAUGUAGAUGGUGAUUGAUAGAGCAAUUCUUGCUCAUAAGUUCCUGUAUGAGUACUGCGCCUAACAUAAAGCUUGUGACUGGUAGUAAAACAUCUAUUUUUAUUUUGAGAUAGAGUUUGAUCCUCAACUAUUUCUCGCGAUAUCUUCUUACGAAGUUUUGUUAGGGCAUCUAUAACUGCCUCCGGUUUAGGUGGGCAGCCCGGCAAGUAGACAUCCACAGGAAUUAACUUAUCAACUCCCCGAACAGUACUAUAGGAAUCUGUACUGAACAUUCCCCCUGUAAUAGUACAGGCUCCCAUAGCAAUGACGUAUUUUGGUUCAGGCAUUUGCUCGUAUAAUCUCACUAAAGAGGGAGCCAUUUUCAUUGUUACCGUACCGGCUGUUAAAAUUAGGUCUGCUUGCCUAGGACUUGAUCUUGGUACCAAUCCAUAACGAUCAAAGUCGAAUCGUGAGCCUAUUAAUGAAGCAAAUUCAAUGAAACAACAACUGGUACCGUAUAGAAGGGGCCAUAAACUGGAGAGUCUUGACCAAUUCGAAAGAUCAUUUGGUGUAGUUGAAAUAACAGAAUUGGAAUUUGUUUGGUCAAGUAAGGGAAACUCAAUCAAAUUCAUAACUGUCUCAAUAGAAUCUUUUCCUUCUUUUUUUUGUCUAAAUAUUCAGUUAAGACCAUUCCAAGGCUCCUUUUCGCCAUGCAUAAACUAAACCAACAACUAAGAUAAGCACGAAAAUCAAAGCUUCAAUAAAAACGGAUACACCCAAUACGUCGAAACUCAUUGCCCAAGGGUAUAGAAAGACGGUUUCCACAUCAAAAACAACAAAAACGAGCGCAAACAUAUAAUAGCAUAUUCGGAAUUGUACCCAAGCCCCUCCCAUGGGUUCUAUACCCGAUUCAUAACUAGAAAGCUUCUCUGGUCCUUCACUAACCGGGGCUAAAAGUCCUGAAAUCGAAAAUGCCAAAAUAGGAAUAAGGCUUGCUAUUAUUAGAAAUGUCCAAAAAAAUAUCAUAUUCGUGAAGCAGAAACAUAAUGUACUCCCAUUAAUGUGGAAUAGCCGGAACUUAAAUUAGUCAAUUCAAUUCAGCAUUGUCAAUUUAUCCAGAACUUCUCUCUUUUCCUCGGUGAAACAAGAAUCUUUUUUGUUCAAACAAAAGCGCUUAGUUUAGCCUUUGUUUCCUCUAUGCUGCAUCUUCUUUAAAGAUUCAUCCAAUGGAAUCCCAACUCCCUUUCUUUUGGAUUUCCAUUCUAUUUAGAUAUGGUGUAUGUAGAUCUAAUUCUUAUAUAAAGAAAACUUUCUCAUUUCACUUUGUCUCGCUUUCUCUAGAAUCUAUCUUGCCGAGAUCUUCAUCCCUAAAGAUACUUGACAAUAGUAUUAUUGGAGUGGAUACACAACUCACAAAAAAUACAAGAAGUCGACUAGGCGGACUGGUCCGAGUGAAGAGAAAAAAAAGCCAUACGGAACUCAAAAUAUUUUCCGGAGAUAUUCAUUUUCCUGAAGAGGCGGAUAAGAUAUUAGGUGGCUGUUUGAUACCGCCAGAAAGACAAAAAAAAGAUUCUAAGGAAUCAAAAAAAAGGAAAAAUUGGGUCUAUGUUCAACGGAAAAAAAUUCUCAAGAGCAAGGAAAAGUAUUUUGUUUCCGUUCGCCCUACAGUGGCAUAUGAAAUGGACGAAGGAAGAAAUUUAGCAACACUUUUCCCGCAGGAUCUCUUGCAAGAAGAAAAUAAUCUCCAAAUUCGACUUGUCAAUUUUAUUUCUCAUGAAAAUAGCAAGUUAACUCAAAGAAUUUAUCACACAAAUAGUCAAUUUGUUAGAACUUGCUUAGUAGUGAAUUGGGAACAAGAAGAAAAAGAAAAGGCUGGUGCUUCCCUUGUUGAGGUAAGAGCAAAUGAUCUUAUUCGCGAUUUCCUAAGAAUUGAGUUAGUCAAGUCCACUAUUUCGUAUAC